rnacentral:rRNA from 1 species
GACGAACGCUGGCGGCGUGCUUAACACAUGCAAGUCGAACGGAAAGGCCCUGCUUUUGUGGGGUGCUCGAGUGGCGAACGGGUGAGUAACACGUGAGUAACCUGCCCUUGACUUUGGGAUAACUUCAGGAAACUGGGGCUAAUACCGGAUAGGAGCUCCUGCUGCAUGGUGGGGGUUGGAAAGUUUCGGCGGUUGGGGAUGGACUCGCGGCUUAUCAGCUUGUUGGUGGGGUAGUGGCUUACCAAGGCUUUGACGGGUAGCCGGCCUGGGAGGGUGAACGGGCACAAUGGGACUGAGAGACGGCGCAGACUGCUACGGGGGGCAGCAGUGGGGAAUAUUGCACAAUGAGCGGGAGCCUGAUGCAGAGACGCCGCGUGCGGGAUGACGGCCUUCGGGUUGUAAACCGCUUUCGCCUGAGACGAAGCGUGAGUGACGGUAAUGGGUAAAGAAGCACCGGCUAACUACGUG